rnacentral:lncRNA from 1 species
UAAACUUGAAUGCAACAUUUUCAUUUGGUUUUUGUAUCCAUAGAAUUGAUUUAAAUGGAGUUAAAUGAAAUGAAAAUCCAAUUCUCAUUUAAAGAGACAAAACAAUUUUGUUCUCAACCUAAUUUGGGCCAAAAUGCAAUUACCACAACUUUUUGGGCUAUAUUGCAAAACAUAAACUUUUGGGGUCACUUUGUAAAAACACAAAAGUCCACUACUUCAUGUAA